rnacentral:lncRNA from 1 species
CUCAAUCUGGUAGCGAUGUUUCUGAUUCCCAAACUCCCUCUUAGAAGCUGACAAGCAACAGCAGCUCUCAGCUAAGGCAGACUUGGGAAAUGACUAAUUAAACAGUGAUUGCAGGAUUGCUUCCUGACCUGGAUAUCAGACCACAAGGGUGAAGCUUCAUAAAGAUAGAGGUUGAGAGAAGACAGAUGACAGAAGAUUUGGGACAGUAGCCUGUGGUGCUCCUAGAGAUAGAUCCAACUGCCUGUAGCCAGUAUGAUAGAGUGACGAUGCAGAAGAAGUCUUACCUGCUGCACUGGCAGAAUUUCAGGAUGAUGAACCCCUCCUUUCUCCAGACCUGUGCAGGAAUCUGCCACUGUUACAUAAAGCUGUGACCCACGUGUGCGUCAGUCCCACCAGGCUCACAAGUAAAUGAGGAAGAUCUCAAGAAGCUCUGAGAUGAUGUCUGAAAGGAUUUCCUUCCCUCCCGCCCAGAGGGUUGAACCUUGCAGAAAGGUCACUUAAUUGUGCUGCUUGGAGAUCUCAUACUGGGCCCAGCGCUCCCUGUACCCUGCAGAACACCAAUGACUGGGGCAGCAGUAACAUCAUCCCAGUGGCUUUGUGCUGUCUGCAUCACCCCUGUGCUGUCUGUGUCAGGGGUGUGUUUUCAAAAGACAGAAAGAAAGCAUUUUAGAGGAGGUAUUCCUGCGUGGGAUUAAUGGGAUUGAUGCAUCUGGAUUAAUGCAGCUUUUCCUGAAAGAAAUGCUCUCUUUU